rnacentral:rRNA from 1 species
CCCUACGGGAGGCAGCAGUGGGGAAUAUUGCACAAUGGGGGAAACCCUGAUGCAGCGAUGCCGCGUGGAGGAAGAAGGUUUUCGGAUUGUAAACUCCUUUUAUCAGGGACGAUAAUGACGGUACCUGAAGAAAAAGCUCCGGCUAACUACGUGCCAGCAGCCGCGGUAAUACGUAGGGAGCGAGCGUUAUCCGGAUUUACUGGGUGUAAAGGGAGUGUAGGCGGGAAAGCAAGUCAGAUGUGAAAACCACGGGCUCAACCUGUGGCCUGCAUUUGAAACUGUUUUUCUUGAGUACUGGCGAGGCA